AUUUACUCCGUUUACAAGUUUUUCUUUUACUUUUUAAAAAAAUUUUUUUUCAAUAUAUGAAAUUUAUUGUCAAAUUGGUUUCCAUACAACACCCAGUACUCAUCCCAAAAGGUGCCCUCCUCAAUACCCGUCACCCACCCUCCCCUCCCUCCCACUACAAGUUUUUCUAUCACAAACAAUAAAGGGACCAAAGCAGCAGAAGGCUGAGAAAUAAACUGCUCUCCCCCUGCUUAACCGAGGGCUCAGACCUACCCAAGUUUGUGUAGCUUAGAUGAUUUUUCACCUGUCAUGACAUUAUUCGUGAGAGAAAGAAUAAUUAACCUUUGUCAUUCUCAGUGCAGUCAUUUUAAUGAUUAUGAAGAACAAAACCAAGUCAGGAGUCUGCCUCCAGAAUUGGAAACAUCACCUCGGUCCCCAGUUCUGUUCAUCUGUGAAUACACUGUUUUCACGGAGGAAGGAUUGAAGGAAAGGAACAGACAGGGAGUGGGAAGCCCCCCCGGCCCUCCCAAGCUGAAAAGGACAAAUUUGGCAUCACGCUGGGAACCUAGGUUUGCGACACAUUUCUCUUUCUAGUAUUCUGCAGCAAGUGGAUUUAAGUCAAGCUAAUUAGAGUGGUUUUGUUUUUUUUUUACAUUGUUUUUCUCAUGCUGUUAGCAAUUCUUUACACUUGAUGGGCACUUGGUGGAGGUUUGCAGGUGAGAUUUCACUUGUUCGUUCAGUAAAUAUUUUAUUGAGCACCCUACUGUGGGUGAGCCAGGCACUGCUCCAAGAGUUGCUGAUACACCAGUCAACAAAACUGGCAAAAGUCCCUGUUCCCAGGAGCUCCCUUUAUAGUGGAGCUUACAUGUUUUAGAAUCGUUGGGUGUGGUUCCAGCUCACCGCCUUCAUAAGGGGAUGAUCCCAGGAAAGUAUUUUCUUGACUUCAGUUUUCUUAUAUCUGUCAAAGUCUGGAUUAAGGCCUUUGGAGACCACUGAUCUGACCCCAGACUCAGCCCUUAUCAGCCACUUGUCCUUGCUACUCUGUUUGUGUGUUGGUUUUCUCACCUGAAAAAUCGACAUAAAAUUACUAUGCCUCAUUAGAGGUAUUACGAGUAUUAAAUAAAUUGCAUACAUAUAGUACUGUCUGGUAUACG
rnacentral:lncRNA from 1 species